UGUGCCAUUGCACCCAGCAGAAGUGAUUUUUUUGAGUUCUGGUCUUGUGUCUCUGGAUUCUUGACUUCUUACAGAAGUAAUUCUUUAUUUCAUUGCUUUGCACUCAAUAAUAUAAAACUAACACUUAGUGUGUGUGAACUCUUGUGUCACUGUAAAGUUUACUUCCUUGUGACUUUCACUUCUCAUCUGCUUCCUUCUUCCUUCCUGCCUAUAAGUGGUUGGCAUUGGCGUUGUCAUCACUCUUGGCCUUUAAAGUCAUUUAUUUCCUGUUCUCUGUUUACUUUUAGUUAAAUUCAGAUUAAAUGG
rnacentral:lncRNA from 1 species